rnacentral:rRNA from 1 species
ACGGGAGGCAGCAGUGGGGAAUAUUGGGCAAUGGGCGAAAGCCUGACCUAGCAACGCCGCGUGAAGGAAGAAGGUCUUCGGAUUGUAAACUUCUUUUAUGAGGGACGAAACAAAUGACGGUACCUCAUGAAUAAGCCACGGCUAACUACGUGCCAGCAGCCGCGGUAAUACGUAGGUGGCAAGCGUUAUCCGGAUUUACUGGGUGUAAAGGGCGCGUAGGCGGGAAUGCAAGUCAGAUGUGAAAUCUCUGGGCUCAACCCAGAAACUGCAUUUGAAACUGUAUUUCUUGAGUGCUGGAGAGGUAGAUGGAAUUCCUAGUGUAGCGGUGAAAUGCGUAGAUAUUAGGAAGAACACCAGUGGCGAAGGCGAUCUACUGGACAGUAACUGACGCUGAGGCGCGAAAGCGUGGGGAGCAAACAGGAUUAGAUACCCUGGUA